GGAGGGGCUGGGCACGCCCCUGGUGUGCCCCUUCUUGCAUUUAGAAUGAGCCCCUGUGCUGAGUGCCAGCCAUGAUCCGCUGAGUCACAGGCCUGUCCUCAAAUAUUCCACAGUCGAAGGUGAGAGAUGUGCUGCAAUGUCUCCCAGUGGCGUUGGGCUGAGACGAGCUACAGCAGCUCGGAAAAGGCCCUGGUCAGGGUCAGCCAUGCCGGGUGACAGGGCAGCAGGACUGGUCCCAAGUGUGUGUUGUUGGCGGGUGUCAGGCACGGCAGGUGAGGGACUGAGUAAAGGUGAACGCCGCAGGGCUCCUGGGCAACACCACGGUUCCUCCCAUAGUAAAACCUCCCACUUUCAUGGGUGCUUCUCUGGUUUUCAGAAGAGGUCUAAGGGUAGAUGGUAAACCUGUAAAUGAUGAUGAUUUGAAUGAAGUGCAUUGCUACAUGUUAGAGCCAAUGCACGUAUUUUCAAAACCACAAGCCUAACUGUGUGUGGAAACACCUGGGGUCACCUGCUCACUCACUGUGAGACACCUGGGGUCACCCGCUCACUCACUGUGUGACACCUGGGGUCACCCGCUCACUCACUGUGAGACACCUGGGGUCACCCGCUCACUCACUGUGUGACACCUGGGGUCACCCGCUCACUCACUGUGAGACACCUGGGGUCACCCGCUCACUCACUGUGGGACACCUGGGGUCACCCGCUCACUCACUGUGGGACACCUGGGGUCAUCUGCUCACUCACUGUGGGACACCUGGGGUUACUGCUCACUCACUGUGGGACACCUGGCAUCAUCUGCUCACUCACUGUGGACUUUUCUAGAAACAACUGAUUUCCAGGCAUUGCCACCAUGCAAGCUUGACUUUCUCAUGUGUAUUUGGCCUCAGCCCGGGCUUACCAGGGCUGCUGAGAUGCUGCAGGGAGGAGCCGCAGUUCAGGUGGGAAGGAGGCUGCCGGGUGUGCACUGUGAGCAGUGAGAACUCGAAAAGGCCCCCGGUCAGAGGCCACCUCGGUGCCCAUGGGCUCCCGCUUGUGACAGAAAGAGCCCUAAAGGAGGGGCUGUGGCCAGGUGGUGUUCCUUAUGAUUCAGGUUAGUUAUUAUGCAUUAUUAGCAACCUGAACCAAUUCACAAAAAAAAUUUGGUACUUGAGAAAAAAAAUGGCCAUUUUACAAUGCAACUGGAAAAAAAAUUCAUGUCCGUUUACAAAGAAAUAAGUUUGUCAGGUCUUGAACUGGUUAUGAAGUGUUAUCCUGAAAUGCUGGUUUACAGCCACAUUCAUAACCAUUUUUUCUUUGAUUAAAUAUUUUUAUUUAAUGUCUUUUGAGAAUGUCAGUGAAUGGAAGGUCAUUUUCUGAAAAACCAGCGAGAGACUCUCCACGUGAAGACGGAAAUCAAUUUGCAUCUCUCUGUGUGGUUGUAAUGCUGGCAUAGACAGGAAUUAAAUGCCCUUUCUUACUUUACUUCCUGAAGUAGAACUUAGCCUGGGACAGAAAUUAUUUAAUGGGAAGCCUCAAACUGUGACACAUUUAAUUGAUGUAGGGCAGGUAAUAAUAAGCUUCUCCAUCACUGUGCACAAACUGUGACUUUUGGUUUCAAAAUGUCUCCGUGCAAAGGAGUGAAACCUCAGGAUGGGGUCCGGGGAGGAUGGGAGGAAGGGGUUUCCCGAGUGGAGGAGCUGGGCAUCGUGGAAGAGGCACUUGGCAGGUGCAGGAAGCUCGUGCCUGGGUCAUUCCAAGGUGCUCUGCUGAGUCUUUGUGUUUCUAGGUCUGGGAAGUAUUUAAUUAUCCAUUUCUUAAAAAGCAUAUUUUCAAAGAUGCUUAUUAAAGGCUUUAAAGUAAGUGGCAGUGCUCAUCGUCUGAACCUUCUGGAAGAGCCAAAGGGAGCAGGAAGCGGCCUCCCCAAGGCGCACGCAGCCGGCCUGUGUGUGGAGGAUCAGAGCUGCUGAAUCAAGGCUGGAGACCACAGCCACCCAGAGCACCUUCCAUCCUGGCCAUCCUGGCGGGGCCUGGCUGUCCUGCCCAUGCCAAAGCCAAGGGGCGUUUGCUGUGGCUCCCUCUCAGCCUGGCACCCGGCCAGUGCCCACACCCUCGUGCCUCCUCCUUCUGCCACCCCUGCUGCCACGCAGUCCUCAGGAGGGGGGCUGGGCCCUGGGGCUCUGAGCAUCACCCUCCGCCCUCCCGAUCACGGGCCAUGUCAUCAGGGCUCUUUUCUGCUGAGCUGUGCCCUGCAUCUCUGCAUUUUAGCCACCGACCUCUGCCCAGGACCCCAGGCUGGCAGCUGGGCUGGACGUCCCCACAGCUGCCCUUGGGGCCUCAGUCCUGUUCUUGCCUUUGAGGUUCCCUGGGUGCAUCUCCAGUCCCUGAGGGGUGACAGGCGCCCUGCACUGUUAGGGCCGGGCACUCACUGCCACUGGACCAGCCCCUGUGUCUGUCUCCUGCAUCCCCUCCAGUGGCAUCCAUUGGCCCUAGAACAUCAGAGGGACUUGGCUCUCCAGGCUGCAGCAGCCAAAAUCCCACACCUCACUGGUGGCAGCAGCAGUGGUUAUUUCGGGCUCAUAUUGCACUGGGCUGAGGUCCGCGAAUCUCACACACGUGGAAGGAGCGGUGCCAUCCGAAUGUGCUUGUGAGAAUCGUGACAAAGCCAGGAAGGGCCUCUGCACAGGCGUGGGGUGCGUAUUCUUCUCAAGGCGGAUGUCAACGGGAAGAGGUGUGCAGUCCUCUCAUCCGGGGUCUGGUGCCCAGAGGUGCCAUCUUCCUCCUGCCUGUGUCUUCCUCCUGCCUGUGUCAUCCUCUUCUGCAGGACGGGAAGACCCCGGAGGCACCGUCUUCCUGCCGCCUGUGUCAUCCUCUUCUGCAGGACGGGAAGAUCCCAGCGCCAUCUUCCCGCCACCUGUGUCAUCCUCUUCUGCAGGAUGGGAAGAUCCCGGUGCUGUCUUCCCGCCACCUGUGUCAUCCUCUUCUGCAGGACGGAAAGAUCCUGGAGGCGCCAUCUUCCUGCUGUCUGUGUCAUCCUCUUCUGCAGGACGGGAAGAUCCCAGCACCGUCUCCCCGCCGCCUGUGUCAUCCUCUUCUGCAGGAUGGGAAGAUCCCGGCGCCGUCUUCCUGCCACCUGUGUCAUCCUCUUCUGCAGGACAGGAAGAUCCUGGCAUCUCACACGCCCCCAGCUUAUGGGGCUCGGAGGCUACAGUGGGAGCUCAGGGCAUGUUUGUUGAGUAUUGGAGGUUUUUCAGUCAGGGAAAAUAUCAAUUUAAAAAUGAAGUCACACAUUCCCCAAGAAGCAUUGCUGAAUUAUAUUGGUUUAGUCAACACAAAAUACAAGUACACAGGAAUAACCUAACCACAAAAUGUCAGGCUGUGAAAGUCAGAGGGCACCUAAUAUUAGGAUAAAUAAAGCAGGUGGAGAGUGAGUGUUUUCUACACUAAUGGAGACAUUUUAAAUUAACUUUGACCAGCAAGUUUUAUUAUUUUUCCUGUUAAGAUCUAGGCAGGCACAUGCAAUUUUUGCGGAGAAGAGACUCCAGUUUAGGAGCCUGCCAUGAGCAGUCAUGCAGGUGGCCCGUGGGGAAGUGGCUGACGUCUGUGUCUGCACCAUCCAGCGGGGUGUGGAUGCCUUGCACACCUGCACCCUAGCUGCACCCCUGCCUGCACCGUGCAGACACGAAGUGGCUGCUCCAGAAUGUUUUCUGGAUGAGAACAUGAGUGAGCAGGACCUGGGGCUGCAGAAAGACUGCUUCUAUAGGCUUUAUUAUUUAUUUAUUUUUAUUUAUUUUUGAGACAGUGGCGGGAUCUCGGCUCACUGCAACCUCCACCUCCCAGGUUCAAGCAAUUCGCCUACCUCAGUCUCCCAAGUAGCUGGGAUGACAGGCACCCACCACCACGCCCAGGUAAUUUUUGUACUUUUUUUUAGUAGAGACGGGGUUUCACUACGUUGGCCAGACUGGUCUCAAACUUUCAUGCUAUUCUGAGCAUUAUGACUAGAUCUUGCACUGUCCUGCUCCAUCCUGCCCAGGACCGGGUCAUCUCUUUGCCCAGCAGAUCCAUGCUGUGCACACCACAUGCCUGUUAGUGGCUUAGUAGCUCUCCUGGGUCAGCAGGUCCACUGAUGCAGAUCACAAGUGCCUGAGUUCAGGCAGCCCUUAUUUUGCUUAACAAAGGCUCCAGAUCAGAACAGCAGUGAGGCUGGCAGCUUGUAGAUGGCAAAGAAGCUGUAAAGUGCUCCCUUUAAGUGAAAAGGUGAAAGUUCUCUACUUAAGAAGGAAAAAAUUGUAUGCUGAGGUUGCGAAUAUCUACCAUAAGAACAAAUCUUCUAUCUCUGAAAUUGCAUCGAAAGAAAAAGAAAUUCCUGCUAGUUUUGCUGUUGCACCUCAAACUGCAAAAGUUAUAACCACAGGAAGAGCACAGGAGGUCGGCGCCACACAAUUUUUAACAACCAGAUCUCCUGAGAAUUCACUCGCCCUCGUGAGAACAGCAGGGGGAAAUCCGCCCCCCUGAUCCAGUCGCCUCCCACCAGGUCCCACCUCCAGCACUGGGGACUACAAUUCAACAUGAGAUUCGGGUGGGGACACAAGUCCAAACCAUAUCAGGUAUUGCAUGUGUAGGUGGAAGACUUAAGGAUAAACAAGUUCUGACUGACGGCCGUCGGGUUUAGUGCCAUCCACAGUCCCAGGCACCCACCGGGUCUGGAAUGUGCCCCGUGAGGAUGAGUGGGGGCUACUACAUUUCAUUUGUCCACAAGGAAACUGGAGCUGAAAGAAGCUGCAGAGUUCCCGAGUCCACACACCCCGCAGGCAGUGCGUUUACCUCAGAGCUCCCGAGUCCACGCACCCCGCAGGCAGCGCGUUUACGUCAGAGCGCCCGAGUCCACGCACCUCGCAGGCGGCGCGUUUACCUCAGAGCGCCCGAGUCCACGCACCUCGUAGGCGGCGCGUUUACCUCAGAGCUCCCGAGUCCACGCACCUCGCAGGCGGCGCGUUUACGUGAGAGCGCCCGAGUCCACGCACCUCGCAGGCGGCGCGUUUACGUGAGAGCUCCCGAGUACGUGAGAGCGCCCGAGUCCACGCACCUCGCAGGCGGCGCGUUUACGUGAGAGCGCCCGAGUCCACGCACCUCGCAGGCGGCGCGUUUACUUGAGAGCGCCCGAGUCCACGCACCUCGCAGGCGGCGCGUUUACGUGAGAGCUCCCGAGUACGUGAGAGCGCCCGAGUCCACGCACCUCGCAGGCGGCGCGUUUACCUCAGAGCGCCCGAGUCCACGCACCUCGCAUGCAGUGUAUUUACAUGGAAAUUGGAUCGAGGCACUGACGUGUAAAUCUUGGCUCCUGCUCCUGCCGUCUAGACAAAGGGCUCACCCAUUGCCGUCUCAGACACCAGAGGCUCCCACUUGACCAGGGGAAGCUGUUCAUGUUCUAUCCUGCGUGUUCUCGAGAAAGUUUUGAUGACAGAAAACAUCACACAGAAAGGGGAAGGCAUCGCAAGUUUCCAGCUCCAUGGAUUUUUGCAAACUGAGCACAUUUGUGGGCCAGGAGUGGGGCCCACAGCGAGAAUAUCCUUCCUGCUGCUCCUGCCGUCCAUCCACCAGCACAGCCAGUUCCCGGCUGUGGAACACACAGCUGUGGAAAAGAGCUAUUUGCUUGCUGUGUUUCCUUUUCUUCUAGCUGCAAAAACCAGAGCGCAGGAUGUUCUUGAACGACAUGGAAUCAACCCAAAUAAAAUGCCUCCUGCUGUGAAAAAUCAUAGAACGCCCACUUCAGAUUUCCGGGCUCCGGGAUAGCAAAGCGUCUGUGAAUUCUACAAGACAGCCAGUUCCCACUGGGAGCUGAUCCAUUUUGUCUAAAGCACCAACUGUUUUGAGCAAUAAGCCAAAAACAGGGUUUUACAGAUGGUUCGUCUCCCACAAAGGCAAAAUAACCUAUGGGGCAUCAUUUGACAACUCCACACGUGGGCACUGGGACAGGAACAGGUGGCCAGGCCUUUCCUUCCCUGUGGUUUGUUUCCUCCCUUUCUGGCUGCAGACCUCACUCAGUUCAGUACGUGCCAAAGGCCUGGCCUCAGCAUCUGCCAUACGCCCGGAGCCCAGCCCCACUCAGCUUCCGAGUCACCCGGCCUGCCUGGAGCACCGAGUCUCUGCACCGGCUCUUCCCUUGAGACAGCAUCUUCUCCAUGGCUCUGGAGGGCCACACGCCCACCUUACACUUCCUCACCUGCUCAUUUGCAACUGGAAGCUUGACGCGUGUGAUCAGCCAGAGAUUUGAUUCACCAGAACGUCUGCAUUCUCUUACUGGCUUUGCAAAUGCUAAAUUGUGGAGUGUUUCUGCUUUUAAAGUUUAAAUCCUCUCGCUGGUAAGCGAAUAAUUAUUCUUAAAAGUAGACUCUACUGGAAAGGUCACUAAGAGGGUUAUUUCCAUUAAAAAUACAUUUAUGUUUCUUGAAAUGUGUUAAGUGGCCUUUGUCAAGGUGUUUAUAAUAGAAGAGUAUAUAAAAAUGAAUUUCUCUAGAGAUGCAGCAUACUCUAAAGAUUUAUCAUUAGAUAAUUAAAAAUACGUAAGUCAUGCUAACAUUUCCAUAUAUAAAUGGAGAACAUUAACUCUCCUACUGUUUAGUUAUAAAAUACCAAAUUUUGUAAUUAUCCUAUCUUGAAUUACACUAUAUUGCAAAAAUGCCAGUUACUCACUUUUAAAUUUGACAAUGUAUGUGAUGAAUUAUAAAUUUAAUAGCCUACAUCUUUUCUCUUGUAUCAAAUUCUCAAAACUUAAUCUUAAACUUUUGUUACUGGAGUUAAAAGGUUGCUGCUAAGAUGGAAAAAUACCGAUUUAGAAAAAAAUAAUGUAUAUAAUGGAAACAUCUGUUAAUUUAAACAUAUACAUUAUGCAAAUGAGCAUACUAUUUUGUACUUUGAGGCCAGAGAGGAUAAAAUAUACAAUGUGUGCUCUAAAUAGAUUUGGAACACUUUAUAAUAUCAAAGAAUUUAAAAACUGUAAGAUUGUCUAGCUCUUCCAUUCAUGGGACAAAAAAUUAAAAAUAAGAAAAAUUAAGCAAUCAGUUAAAGACAACAACAGCUGGGAUCCUCCCUGUGACUCCCAGGCGAGGGCCAUUUCUACAGCUUCUCCAGUGUGUGGACUGGGUCAGGCCUUAAACUGGAAGCCUUGACUAGUAGUGAAACAGCCCGACAAAUGUUACCUAUUUUCUACACUUUUUUUCAAAUAUGGUGAAAGUUAUCAGAAUGAAAGUGGAAUCGUUUGUGUUAAAACCUGGAUGAGCUGAGCUGGGGAAGGCCUUGGGAGGAGGGCUCUGCUGCACGAAUGCCUGACAGCAAGAACUCUCACCAAAGACUCUGCAAACACCACAUCCAAGCACAAAAGCCCCGAGGACCUCGCAAGGGCUCUGCUGCACGAAUGCCUUGACAAAAAGAGCUAAACACCCUACAGACAUGACAUCCACGCACAAAAGCCCCGGAGACCUCAGUCAGAAAGCACCUCUGUGAGGACAUCUGCCCAGCACCUGCCUGUCCAACCCCACACCGGCACCACCCUUGCUAUGGGCCCUUGUAGGCAAGGAUAAUUGUCUCCAAACAACUUAUGUUUUCUUUAAAAACUCUUGUCUUCCUUGACCUCCCUGAAUGUAUUCACUGACUCCCAUUGCAAUGCUCAAUUCCCAAACAAAUAUUCUUUUCUUCA